rnacentral:rRNA from 1 species
UUUGAUCCUGGCUCAGGAUGAACGCUGGCGGCGUGCCUAACACAUGCAAGUCGAGCGUGAACCAUCUAAAUGAAACUUCGGUCGAAUGAAGAUGGGGAAAGCGGCGGACGGGUGAGUAACGCGUAGGCAACCUGCCCCAUACAGAGGGAUAGCCUCGGGAAACCGGGAUUAAAACCUCAUAACGCCAUACCUUCACAUGUAGGAAUGGUCAAAGAUUUAUCGGUAUGGGAUGGGCCUGCGUCUGAUUAGCUGGUUGGUGAGGUAACGGCUCACCAAGGCAACGAUCAGUAGCCGACCUGAGAGGGUGAUCGGCCACAUUGGAACUGAGACACGGUCCAAACUCCUACGGGAGGCAGCAGUGGGGAAUAUUGCACAAUGGGCGGAAGCCUGAUGCAGCAACGCCGCGUGAACGAGGAAGGCCUUUGGGUCGUAAAGUUCUGUCGGGAAGGAAGAUAAUGACGGUACUUCCCGAGGAAGCCCCGGCUAACUACGUGCCAGCAGCCGCGGUAAUACGUAGGGGGCGAGCGUUAUCCGGAAUUAUUGGGCGUAAAGAGUGCGUAGGUGGUUUCUUAAGUGUGGGGUGAAGGCCAUUGGCUUAACCAGUGUAAGCCCCGCAAACUGGGGGACUUGAGUGCAGGAGAGGAAAGCGGAAUUCCUAGUGUAGCGGUGAAAUGCGUAGAUAUUAGGAGGAACACCAGUGGCGAAGGCGGCUUUCUGGACUGUAACUGACACUGAGGCACGAAAGCGUGGGGAGCAAACAGGAUUAGAUACCCUGGUAGUCCACGCCGUAAACGAUGAGCACUAGGUGUCGGGGUCGCAAGGCUUCGGUGCCACAGUUAACGCAUUAAGUGCUCCGCCUGGGGAGUACGUGCGCAAGCAUGAAACUCAAAGGAAUUGGCGGGACCUCGCACAAGCGGUGGAUCAUGUUGUUUAAUUCGACGAUACGCGAAGAACCUUACCAGGCCUUGACAUACCGAGCGAUGCUAUGGAGACAUAGCGGAGGUUAUUCUGGGAUACAGGUGGUGCAUGGUUGUCGUCAGCUCGUGUCGUGAGAUGUUGGGUUAAGUCCCGCAACGAGCGCAACUCUUAUCGCUAAUUGCCAUCAUUAAGUUGGGGACUUUAGCGAGACUGCCAGUGACAAACUGGAGGAAGGUGAGAAUGACGUCAAAUCAUCAUGCCCCUUAUGGCCUGGGCUACAAACGUGAUACAAUGGUUGGUACAAAGGGAGGCAACGCCGCGAGGCCAAGCGAACCCCAUAAAACCAAUCUCAGUUCGGAUUGAAGUCUGCAACUCGACUUCAUGAAGUCGGAAUCGCUAGUAAUCGUAGAUCAGAACGCUACGGUGAAUACGUUCUCGAGGUUUGCACACACCGCCCGUCAAG